UAAGUGCUAGUUUGGGAACAAAAACUUGAUUUAGUGCUAUUUUUGUCUUUUUCUCUUAAACUUUUCCUGAAUUGACACAUUAUCUCCAAUCUAAAAUUUUAAAAACCCAAUUCGGGAAAAGAAGAAAUUGACAAAUGGCCAAGUGUGUUUAGUCGAGGAAGCUUGCAAGGCCUAUGAUGUGGAUAGUGUAACAUAUAUAUAUAUAUGUAUAUAUGAGAUAACUUAUUUUGAACCAUACAAUAUUCUUUGACAAAAUUAAGUUUUGUCUGAUCAUUGCAUAGGUAAAGGAAGCAUCCUUCUUUACAACUUAAAGGGCACCUUCUUCCUUAACACCUUAUCUAUCUUUUCGUGAGGCAAAGCUAAUAGUUUGAGGUUAAGGGUGUUGAAUAACUUAGUAAGCUGUAAUUGGAUUAGACUCACCUGUCCUAAUAGCAGUAAUCAUUAAAUAAAUUCAGUUUCUUCCGGUCCAAGACAUAGAUCACUGAAGUCGCUGAUAAGAUUAAGUAUUGUUCCAACUUAUAAAUGGAUUUUUACUUUUAUGAAUAAAUUGUAUCAGUAUUUCCAGUCACAAGAGAAAGAAAGAAAAAACAGUUACGCCAAUCGUUAGACAAACAAACAUUGGAAUAGGAACCUAUUGGAGAGAGAGAGGUAGGCCUUCCAUGUCAUCAGUUAUCCCAUCUUCAUCGACAAACCUAAUUUUCUUACACUUGAAGCCUUCCAUGUUAUUAAUAUCAUAUCAUAUGAUUGUGUAUUUGUGUGCUACUGUUAUGUGAUGUUCAUAUGAUUGUAUGUGUGCUAGUGAGUUUGUUGACGAAAGAAGAAGCCUUUCUUACUCUGAGCUAUGGGCAUGACCUACGUAUUCCAACUCUCCUCCACCUACUUCUGUGCCCAUUCCUAGUUCUCUCUCCGGCAAAGGAGGACGGUUUCUUUAACCUUUCCAUCUCCUGACUCUGCUGUCGAUGUUCUGAAGUUGCUAAGUCUGCUCCUGUUUCUCCAACCUCAUCUUGUGACGACCACAACCCGUUCCACAGUACUGUCUCUGCUACUAUGACACUGCGCCGCGUGCUUAACCUUGAGACUGCUGACGAAUGAAGACCAGGAGGGUUUAGGGGAACAUGGAUUAGUUUUAGUUUUCUAAACAUAGUAAUAAGGUGUAAGUCACCAAGCUAGUUUAAAGAACGCAGAGGCAGUCUUGACACAGAGCUGGUCAUCAGCUAUUGUGAGUAGAAACAUUCAGGAAACAGAUUGAAACCGCGUAAGAGAGAAGACUUGGUUCUUGGUUAGCAUUUAGCAGCAUAAAGGAUGGCUGGUGAUGCUUGAGUAUUAGCAUUUGUUCUUUGUCCUUUGUAUUAGAGCUGUCUUCUUUUUUUUCUUCCUUUGGCUUCUUCACUUAAGUGGGUUAGAUAGAAGCUAGGUUUAUGUGUCUACGCUCGAACGCCUCUUGGGAUCUUUGUCUUCUUACCUUUUCUCUCGUAUCUCUUCCCUUGUCCAUAUUUUUUCUAUUAAUCUUUUCUCUUCCGUCUAGUUCAUUUUGUUCCAGCCUUAGAGAUGUAAAUCUUACUACUUUGGUUAAGUGAUCUUCCUCUUCAGCUCUUUUCCUGAUUUUUUUUUUUUUUGUAAAUGAAGAAGGGAAUAGGAAGUUCUAGUAAACUAUCUCUGCUGAUGAGUUUCAUCCAUCUUGAUACCUGAAACACACUAAGUUUCCUUGGAGUUUCUUGAUCCUGCUUAAUCUGCUCACCAGGGACCUAUAGAAGCUGCUGCUCUGCUUUUGAUGCUUUAUUAUGGAUUCUUUGUCUCCUACUAUCUCUGGUUGUGUUUGUUACGCAUUGAUAACUAUUUUCUUUCAAAAAAAAAAAAAACUAUUUUCUUUGUUUGGAACUGUUGUCUGAAGCUAUUUUACGCAUUGAUAAGUAUUUUCUCCUACAAACGUAUGUUUCUUCUUGUCUUUUUGUAGUUUGUGACAGUAGUAGACGUUUUGAGUUUUAAUGUUGAAGAAAAUGUAUCCCUUGUUCCCUAAAUUAUUAUUUUUUUUCCGUCAA